UUCCAGUUCCAAUUUAAGCUAAUUUCUCGCUCUGUCCUCCGAGGACAGGGGCGCGGGCGGGCAUCUUCUGGAGCCGGGCCUUUCGGGAGCGCGGUAAUUACUGAGGCGCCCCGACCCCGACUCGCCCCAGCAGCGCGUCCAACUCCUGCCCCGCGAGCUCUCCUUUCAGGUCGCUUGAAUCAUUACCCUGCCUCUCGCUUGGAUUCCGACUUUUAAAUGAAGUGGCCCAGACCAGAGGUGACAUUUAAGGGGGACCCUGCUGAAUCUCCGUGAGCCUUGUCUACCCAGGCAUCCCCACCCAGCCCCAAGAUGUGCUCUUCGCAUUCGCCCAAGCCUUGGACUUUGGCUGCCUCUAUGAGGAAUGGCCUCUGACCUAUGUGAUACCCCAAGUCCUAGCUGUCACGGGCCACUUUCUCAGCAGCCCCCGGAUGGCCCUGCCCUGGGCUUCCAGUCCUGCCACUCACAGGCCACGGGUCUCAUCAAGUGCAGAGGCUGGCCUCAAACUUCCAAUCCUCUUGCCUCAGCCUCCUCAGUGGUUGGGAUUACAGCCAUGCACCACCGUGCCAGCUCAUGGUGUGCCAUCCUUAAGAGCAGAGUCCGGGAGAGUGGGAGCGUCUUGAGAGUGUAGCACAGGGGCUGGAGCCACGGGCAGGUUCUGCCAGGCCUCGGGUGCCUUCUUGGCUCUCCAGGGAGCCCCCUCGACCAGGACCGUUGAGAGCUGGCAGAAUCACGGGAUUAAUUAGCCUCCGCUCAUGAGGAAGAACGCGCACGCACACAGCCCUGGCGUAAGGACUGCCAAAGCUGCCAGCGUCCCUGGGACAUGGGGCGGGGCAGCAAAGCCGCCCCUGAGCCAGGGCUGCAGGUGCC